rnacentral:rRNA from 1 species
UAGCGUAUAUUAAAGUUGUUGCGGUAAAAAAGCUCGUAGUUGGAUUUCUGUUGGGGAUGACCGGUCCGUACCACGUACGCGCAUCUGGAUCAGCCACGACAUCCUCACGAUGCACGAUUCUGCGCUUGAUUGCGUGGUUCGUAUCUCGUGACUUUUACUUUGAGGAAAUUAGAGUGUUCACGGCAGGCUAUCGCCAGAAUACAUUAGCAUGGAAUAAUACUAUAGGAUCUCGGUUCUAUUUUGUUGGUUUCUAGCACCGAGGUAAUGAUUAAUAGGGACAAACGGGGGCAUUCGUAUCAACACGUC